GUGCUCGUUUUGACAGCACAAAGACUAACAUCAGAAUGACCGGACACGAUCAAGCAUGGGCCCUGUUCAAGGAUGACACGCAAAUUUGUGAAGCGUCUCAUGUUUUC